GCCCAGCCAUUUUAGUGUCUAGUGAGAAUCCCGAACGACGUCGUUUUUGAGUGAGUUUCCGUUUGCUGCAUCUCUGUUUCUCUCCAUUUUUACGUUUCUGUUCUUCCUCUGCAAGUCAGCGAGCAGUACCUCUCAUUCCUCCAUUUUUUUGACUGUUUCUGUUUUGGCCGUGAGGUUUGGGUUGCGUUUGUGUGUCUGGGUGUUGUGCGUGGUGAGUCUUCAGGUAAAUCUCUUUCUUUGCUCUCAGGUCGAUGCCUUCCCCGCACUUUAUUUCUCUGGUUUUAUGCAAUUCCGACUUUGAAUUGUUC